CGGCAGCCCUGGGGUCUCAGGCCAGAACGUGUGCGAGCCGGCUCCAACCGUGUGUCACCACAGAUUAGUGCUAUUUAAUAUCUGCUAAUGGAAUGGCACUGUCUGCCGUCGACAGCAGGAGCCAAAGCGGGCCACGCAGCUUUUAAAUUAUUAGCACUAAUUAGGCAAAUCAAAGAGGAGGAGGGCAAAGAGACCAAAGCUUGCAUGAGCAGGAAAGCAAGGGAUCGCUACCUGCCUUGUCCUGUCACGAUCGAGCUACCAAGCAGCCAAUUAGUGCCGAAGACCCUUCCGGAGUGACAAAAGAACGAGCAGGCCUGCCCCGAGCCCAGGCAGGAUGGCUUCAUUAUAAGGCUGUGAAGAAGAGGGUGAGAGGAAGUGAAUUUUCCCCUUGACACUCCACAAGCGCAAAGGACAGAGCUUUAGAGAUGGGAAAGCCCAAGAUCAAAGGUCCAGCAGGGUUCAGCUCCUGGUGACAUCUCUCCUCCUGGCUUCAGUUAACCACCUUCUCCACGUGACUUCGCUUGGGAGAGACUGAGCU